CACGAACGCUGGCGGCAGGCCUAAUACAUGCAAGUCGAACGCACCGCAAGGUGAGUGGCAGACGGGUGAGUAACGCGUGGGAAUCUUCCUUGCAGUACGGAAUAACUCCGGGAAACCGGUGCUAAUACCGUAUACGCCCUUUGGGGGAAAGAUUUAUCGCUGCAAGAUGAGCCCGCGUCGGAUUAGCUAGUUGGUGGGGUAAUGGCCUACCAAGGCGACGAUCCGUAGCUGGUCUGAGAGGAUGAUCAGCCACACUGGGACUGAGACACGGCCCAGACUCCUACGGGAGGCAGCAGUAGGGAAUAUUGGACAAUGGGCGAAAGCCUGAUCCAGCCAUGCCGCGUGAGUGAAGAAGGCCUUAGGGUUGUAAAGCUCUUUUGGCGGGGACGAUAAUGACGGUACCCGCAGAAUAAGCACCGGCUAACUACGUGCCAGCAGCCGCGGUAAGAC
rnacentral:rRNA from 1 species